UAUUGGAAUGCAUAUCCUGAAGAUAUUGCUUUCCGGAGAAGAAAUGUGAAAUAUGUGUGGUUGUACUCUUUUCCCUCAUCAUGGUUUUUAUCCCACUGGGUUUUUCCAUGACAAGGUUUUAACGAGGCAACAAAGAACACAUAAAAGAUAGACACCCAAAGAGAAUGUUACAAUUUGGGAGAUGAAAAUCUAUCAUUGUUCUAUAGUUUUGGAGAUAAAAAGAAUCCAAGAAAUGAUCAGAUCAUGAAGACUCAUGCACUACUGAAGAAUGGCGAAGUUCGUUUCCUACAAGUUCGUUCGAGUAAAUAUUUGGCUGUUUCAUUCACCAAGACGCUACCCCUGCUACUUUCAAGAAGCUCACUCAUCUUAUUGAACUACGUUGUCUCAAAGAUCUCGACGUAUGUACACAUGAGGGGAAGUCAUUAUACGCUGCACUCUUUUUCCUUUAACCAUGGUUUUUUCCUAUUGGGUUUUCCUGGUGGGGUUUUUAACGAGGCAGCAUCUUACGCGCAUAAUGGACAUCAAGGGGAAGUGUUAUGAAUAUUAUGGUGAUGCCAUUAUGGCAUAUCUUAAAUAUACUUGUUCUCCAAGCUUUACUUGUUCUCCAAGUGGCUUUGUCCACAAGCUAUUGUAAUCCUAUAUAAAGGACUCAUUACUCAUGGAAUAAUACACACCAAUUUCUCUCUUCUCUUGUCUUCUCUUCUUUAUUCAAAACAGAAAGAAGUAUUUUUAGAAGUGGAAGAAUCGUAUGGGUAACGCCAACGGAUAGCUCAUAGCUUCAUAAUCAAUUGGUAUAAAUUGCAAAAAAAAAGAGGCCGCGUAAAUUCUUGAGGCCUAAAGAUAAAAGGUUAUCGCGCACGUGCCGGGUCAACCCAAAAUGAAGUCUGGAGCAUCCACCCACGUCAGUAGAUGAAUCCCAUGUCCGAGUUAUGGUUACAAUGAUAGUUUAGAACUCGACAACGGGUUACUACCAACUCCAGCAAAGCAUUCUCCUAAUCAGAGCAUCGAACUAACAAAGGAAGCUAUGGACUUCCUUAGAGGAAUCUUCCAGUUAUAUGACCUUGAUAAUGUGUGUGUAUAUGAUCGUUUCUCUAAUUAUCCAACCUUGAUUCUCUUGUUCUGUAUCAACUAAAAGACCAUUUAAAUUCAUAACCAAAGAGACCAACAACAACAAUUCUAGUUUUCCUUGGAAGAUGAUCAAUUUCAUGUUAAGGAAAUAGAUCAUCAGAAAAACACUCUUAGAUCCUCCUUGCAUGACUAAAAAUACGUUUACCAUAAAGAGCGAAAGAGAGAUAAAACUGAACCUAAACUACAUAGCAACAAGA